UACGGGGGGGGGCAAGCGUUGUUCGGAAUUACUGGGCGUAAAGGGCUCGUAGGCGGCCAACUAAGUCAGACGUGAAAUCCCUCGGCUUAACCGGGGAACUGCGUCUGAUACUGGAUGGCUUGAGGUUGGGAGAGGGAUGCGGAAUUCCAGGUGUAGCGGUGAAAUGCGUAGAUAUCAGGAGGAACACCGGUGGCGAAGGCGGGUCUCUGGGCCGAUACUGACGCUGAGGAGCGAAAGCGUGGGGAGCAAACAGG
rnacentral:rRNA from 1 species